rnacentral:rRNA from 1 species
AUUGAACGCUGGCGGCAUGCUUUACACAUGCAAGUCGAACGGUAACAGGCCUUCGGGUGCUGACGAGUGGCGAACGGGUGAGUAAUGCAUCGGAACGUACCCAGAGGUGGGGGAUAACGCAGCGAAAGCUGUGCUAAUACCGCAUGUGAUCUGAGGAUGAAAGCGGGGGACCGAGCAGCAAUGUUUGGCCUCGCGCCUUUGGAGCGGCCGAUGUCGGAUUAGCUAGUUGGUGGGGUAAAGGCCUACCAAGGCGACGAUCUGUAGCUGGUCUGAGAGGACGACCAGCCACACUGGGACUGAGACACGGCCCAGACUCCUACGGGAGGCAGCAGUGGGGAAUUUUGGACAAUGGGCGCAAGCCUGAUCCAGCAAUGCCGCGUGCGGGAAGAAGGCCUUCGGGUUGUAAACCGCUUUUGGCAGGAACGAAACGGUGUCCGCUAAUACCGGGCGCUAAUGACGGUACCUGCAGAAUAAGCACCGGCUAACUACGUG